GCAAGUCGAGGGGUAACAGAUGAAGAGCUUGCUCAGAUUGCUGACGACCGGCGCACGGGUGAGUAACACGUAUGCAACCUACCUUUUACAGAGGGAUAGCCCAGAGAAAUUUGGAUUAAUACCUCAUAAUAUUUUUAACUCGCAUGAGUUUUAAAUUAAAACUUCGGUGGUAAAAGAUGGGCAUGCGUAGCAUUAGUUAGUUGGUAAGGUAACGGCUUACCAAGACAAUGAUGCUUAGGGGGUCUGAGAGGAUAGUC
rnacentral:rRNA from 1 species